CCUACGGGAGGCAGCAGUGGGGAAUAUUGGACAAUGGGGGCAACCCUGAUCCAGCCAUGCCGCGUGUGUGAAGAAGGCCCUCGGGUUGUAAAGCACUUUCAGUGAGGAAGAACGCCUGGUGGUUAAUACCCAUCAGGAAAGACAUCACUCACAGAAGAAGCACCGGCUAACUCCGUGCCAGCAGCCGCGGUAAUACGGAGGGUGCGAGCGUUAAUCGGAAUUACUGGGCGUAAAGCGCGCGUAGGUGGCUUGAUAAGCCGGUUGUGAAAGCCCCGGGCUCAACCUGGGAACGGCAUCCGGAACUGUCAAGCUAGAGUGCAGGAGAGGAAGGUAGAAUUCCCGGUGUAGCGGUGAAAUGCGUAGAGAUCGGGAGGAAUACCAGUGGCGAAGGCGGCCUUCUGGACUGACACUGACACUGAGGUGCGAAAGCGUGGGUAGCAAACAUGAUUAGAUACCCCAGUAGUC
rnacentral:rRNA from 1 species